rnacentral:rRNA from 1 species
UGACCUCAAAUCAGGUAGGACUACCCGCUGAACUUAAGCAUAUCAAUAAGCGGAGGAAAAGAAACUAACAAGGAUUCCCCUAGUAACUGCGAGUGAAGCGGGAAAAGCUCAAAUUUAAAAUCUGGCGGUCUUUUGGCUGUCCGAGUUGUAAUCUAGAGAAGUGUUAUCCGCGCUGGACCGUGUACAAGUCUCCUGGAAUGGAGCAUCAUAGAGGGUGAGAAUCCCGUCUUUGACAUGGACUGCCAGGGCUUUGUUGAUGCGCUCUCAAAGAGUCGAGUUGUUUGGGAAUGCAGCUCAAAAUGGGUGGUAAAUUCCAUCUAAAGCUAAAUAUUGGCGAGAGACCGAUAGCGACCAAGUACCGUGAGGGAAAGAUGAAAAGAACUUUGGAAAGAGAGUUAAACAGUACGUGAAAUUGCUGAAAGGGAAACGCUUGAAGUCAGUCGCGUUGUCCAGAGAUCAACCUUGCUUUUGCUUGGUGCACUUUCUGGUUCAAUGGUUCAGCAUCAAUUUUGACUAUUGGAAAAAGGUUGAGGGAAUGUGGCUUCUUUGGAUGUGUUAUAGCCCUUGGUUGUAUACAAUGGUUGGGAUUGAGGAACUCACC